CCUACGGGAGGCAGCAGUGGGGGAUAUUGCACAAUGGGGGGAACCCUGAUGCAGCGACGCCGCGUGGGUGAAGGAGCGUUUCGGCGCGUAAAGCCCUAUCGGCAGGGACGAAGGUGACGGUACCUGUCCAAUAAGCCCCGGCUAACUACGUGCCAGCAGCCGCGGUAAUACGUAGGGGGCCAGCGUUAUCCGGAUUUACUGGGUGUAAAGGGGGCGCAGACGGCAGUGCAAGCCAGGAGUGAAAGCCCGGGGCCCAACCCCGGGAUUGCACUUGAAACUGGAUGGCUUGAGUACAGGAGGGGCAGGCGGAAUUCCUAGUGUAGCGGUGAAAUGCGUAGAUAUCACGAGGAACCCCGAUUGCGAAGGCAGCCUGCUGGGCCAUGACUGACGCUGAUGCACGAAAGCGUGGGGAUCAAACAGGAUUAGAUACCCUUGUAGUC
rnacentral:rRNA from 1 species